UUUAUGGAGAGUUUGAUCCUGGCUCAGGAUGAACGCUGGCGGCGUGCCUAAUACAUGCAAGUCGAGCGAACGGACGAGAAGCUUGCUUCUCUGAUGUUAGCGGCGGACGGGUGAGUAACACGUGGAUAACCUACCUAUAAGACUGGGAUAACUUCGGGAAACCGGAGCUAAUACCGGAUAAUAUUUUGAACCGCAUGGUUCAAAAGUGAAAGACGGUCUUGCUGUCACUUAUAGAUGGAUCCGCGCUGCAUUAGCUAGUUGGUAAGGUAACGGCUUACCAAGGCAACGAUGCAUAGCCGACCUGAGAGGGUGAUCGGCCACACUGGAACUGAGACACGGUCCAGACUCCUACGGG
rnacentral:rRNA from 1 species